AUUUUCCUUCUUUCAACUUAGCAUUUCUGAGCAAGGAUGAACAAUCAUCUUCUCCUUUCAUCAGCCUCAGAAUUCCAUCUUCAAGCUGUUUGACAGCCUCACCUUAUUGGCCUCAGGAAAGCUAAUGUACCAUGGUCCUGCCCAGAAGGCUUUGGAGUACUUUGAAUCAGCAGGUGUGGUUGACCUUUUCAGGCACUAGAUCCUUCCAU
rnacentral:lncRNA from 1 species